UCGGCGGUUACUGGCCAACUUGCCAACCCUUAGCAAAACUAAGACAGCAGUGUACCAUCUCACCCAUCAAUGGAGUCUAUAUGUUUAAUUGCCCCUGCGAAGAUGGAGCGCGUUGCGAUACCAGGAUGUAUUUGUGUGUGCCGCCAUAUUCUGAUGGUUAUGCCUUUAUCAUGGGUCAGAAAAGUCGUAAAUUAGUAAAUAAGGAUUUACGCUCUGGUGUAGAGAAGGUCUCGGAAAAAAUAUAACAAUAAAAUGCUUAUCUUCUUGUA